rnacentral:rRNA from 1 species
CCUACGGGCGGCUGCAGUGAGGAAUAUUGGUCAAUGGGCGCGAGCCUGAACCAGCCAAGUAGCGUGAAGGAUGACUGCCCUACGGGUUGUAAACUUCUUUUAUAAAGGAAUAAAGUGAGGCACGUGUGCCUUUUUGUAUGUACUUUAUGAAUAAGGAUCGGCUAACUCCGUGACAGCAGCCGCGGUAAUACGGAGGAUCCGAGCGUUAUCCGGAUUUAUUGGGUUUAAAGGGAGCGUAGAUGGGUUGUUAAGUCAGUUGUGAAAGUGUGGGGCUCAAACGUAAAAUUGCAAUUGAUACUGGUAGCCUUGAGUACAGUAGAGGUAGGCGGAAUUCGUGGUGUAGCGGUGAAAUGCGUAGAUAUCACGAAGAACUCCGAUUGCGAAGGCAGCCUACUAAACUGCAACUGACAUUGAUGCUCGAAAGUGUGGGGAUCAAACAGGAUUAGAUACCCGAGUAGUC